AGCGAACGCUGGCGGCAGGCCUAACACAUGCAAGUCGAACGAAGUCUUCGGGCUUAGUGGCGGACGGGUGAGUAACACGUGGGAACGUGCCUUUAGGUUCGGAAUAACUCAGGGAAACUUGUGCUAAUACCGAAUGUGCCCUUCGGGGGAAAGAUUUAUCGCCUUUAGAGCGGCCCGCGUCUGAUUAGCUAGUUGGUGAGGUAAGGGCUCACCAAGGCGACGAUCAGUAGCUGGUCUGAGAGGAUGAUCAGCCACAUUGGGACUGAGACACGGCCCAAACUCCUACGGGAGGCAGCAGUGGGGAAUCUUGCGCAAUGGGCGAAAGCCUGACGCAGCCAUGCCGCGUGAAUGAUGAAGGUCUUAGGAUUGUAAAAUUCUUUCACCGGGGACGAUAAUGACGGUACCCGGAGAAGAAGCCCCGGCUAACUUCGUGCCAGCCGCCGCAGUAAUAC
rnacentral:rRNA from 1 species